AAGUUUUAGUUUUUUUGCGAGGGAUUUACUACUCCUACUCGCAGAUCCCUAGCAAACUUUGCGAGGGACUUACGACAUUUCUUAGUUAUAUAUAUAUAUAUAUAUCGACAUCCUAGGUUUGAGCUGCCGCUUUAGACAAAGUCACAAAACCCUAAUUUGCUACUUCUUCUCUGGUUCAAUUUUCUUCUUCUUCUUCUCCGAUCUAUCUCUUCUACGAUAUAACUUCUUCUCCGAUCUGUCUUCUCCUACGUCUCUAUAUGCUUAUUCAAUCUAUCUUCUUCUCCUUUUAGCUUCGUCUCCUCUUCUUUUCCGUUCAACUGACAAUAAUCUCUGGAAUCUUCAUCCCCAUCUGUCGUACCAAGAUCUUGGUUAGACUCCCCUAGAUCUGCUAUUUGUGACAGAUGUCUUCACAUUCUGGAAACGAUUACUCAAAAUACCUUUCACAGAAUGGUCGAACUGCACCUGUCAUUGUAGGGAACACCUCUGCGAUUCAAGGAUUGGUUCUCUACAGCAUGAAGCAUCUUCUGUUGCUACUGGUCCACCGCCUCCUCGUGAUGAUCCGGUUGAUCUUUCUCAGAAGCUUGCUGUGGCUGAAGCUUGCAGCAAAGUUUUGAGCAGGAAGCCAACCAGACAACACCAACACCAAUGCGACCAGAACUGCGGUGAACAACGCGACGGGACCUGGUGAGAAGGAAGGUGAUGCUGCUAUGACCGGAACUACAGGUCUUGUGACCGGUAACGGAUCAAGAUCCUCUCCAACAGAAACCUUUUAAUUAGAUAUGUUAAUUGGUUUCUCUUUAAGACUAAGACAAUUUUAAUGUUUUGUAAUCAUAAGUUUAAGCCUACUAUGCUUUCUACAUUUGGAUAAUUCAAAUUUGAUUUUUAUUU